AACGAACGCUGGCGGCACGUUUUAAGCAUGCAAGUCGAAUGGCAGCAGGGGCAACUCUGUGAGAAUGGCGAACGGGUGAGUAACACGUAGGUGAUCUGCCUUGAGGAUGGGGAUAGCCUGUGGAAACACAGGGUAAUACCGAAUGAGCUGACGAGACUUUGGUUUUGUUAGUAAAGGUGCUACGGCACCGCCUUGAGAGGAGCCUGCGGCUGAUUAGCGAGUUGGUGGGGUAAGAGCUUACCAAGGCGACGAACAGUAGCCGGCCUGGGAGGGUGUACGGCCACACUGGAACUGAGACACGGUCCAGACUCCUACGGGAGGCAGCAGCUAAGAAUCUUCCGCAAUGGGCGAAAGCCUGACGGAGCGAUGCCGCGUGAUCGAUGAAGGUCGAGAGAUUGUAAAGAUCUUUUCUACAUGAGGAAUAAGUCUGGGAGGGAAUGCCCGGAUGAUGACGUUAGUGUAGGAAUAAGCCCCGGCUAAUUACGUGCCAGCAGCCGCCGUAA
rnacentral:rRNA from 1 species